UACGAAGGGGGCUAGCGUUGCUCGGAUUUACUGGGCGUAAAGGGCGCGUAGGCGGAUGUUUAAGUCGGGGGUGAAAGCCCGGGGCUCAACCUCGGAAUUGCCUUCGAUACUGGACAUCUUGAGUACGGGAGAGGUGAGUGGAACUCCGAGUGUAGAGGUGAAAUUCGUAGAUAUUCGCAAGAACACCAGUGGCGAAGGCGGCUCACUGGCCCGGUACUGACGCUGAGGUGCGAAAGCGUGGGGAGCAAACAGG
rnacentral:rRNA from 1 species